GCGUUCGUGCAGGUCAGGCGGUGGCUCACACUCCCUCUCUUGUAAAGCGGGGGUCGUCGGUUCGAACCCGACAGGGGGCUCCA
rnacentral:tRNA from 1 species